rnacentral:rRNA from 1 species
ACACGAACCGCACGAACGUUAUUCGGAAUCACUGGGCUUAAAGGGUGCGUAGGCGGUCCGGCAAGUUGGGUGUGAAAGCCCUCGGCUCAACCGAGGAAUUGCGCCCAAAACUACCGGACUUGAGGAAGACAGAGGUGAGCGGAACUUGCGGUGGAGCGGUGAAAUGCGUUGAUAUCGCAAGGAACACCAGUGGCGAAAGCGGCUCACUGGGUCUUUUCUGACGCUGAGGCACGAAAGCUAGGGGAGCGAACGGGAUUAGAAACCCGUGUAGUCC